rnacentral:rRNA from 1 species
UGAGGGAUUUUGCGCAAUGGGGGAAACCUUGACGCAGCAACGCCGCGUGAGUGAAGAAGGCUCUUGGGUCGUAAAGCUCUGUCAACAGGGAAGAAGUUACUGUAUAUGAAUAGUGUAUGGUAUUGACGGUACCUGUGGAGGAAGCACCGGCUAACUCCGUGCCAGCAGCCGCGGUAACACGGGGGGUGCAAGCGUUAUUCGGAAUUAUUGGGCGUAAAGGGCGCGCAGGCGGUCUUGCCGGUCAGGUGUGAAAGCCCGGGGCUCAACCCCGGAAGAGCAUUUGAAACAGCAAGACUUGAGUACAGGAGAGGAAAGCGGAAUUCCUGGUGUAGAGGUGAAAUUCGUAGAUAUCAGGAGGAACACCCAUGGCGAAGGCAGCUUUCUGGACUGAUACUGACGCUGAGGCGCGAAGGUGUGGGUAGCGAACAGGAUUAGAUACCCUGGUAGUCCACACAGUAAACGAUGUUCACUAGGUGUAGCGGGUAUUAAAACCUGCUGUGCCGGAGUUAACGCAUUAAGUGAACCGCCUGGGGAGUACGGUCGCAAGAUUA